AUGUACCACGCGUACGCUGUGGUCCCUGCGCGCCGUCCGCACCUGCCUGACGAUCGCUCGCUGCGUUCUGGUAGCC
rnacentral:sRNA from 1 species